GAGGUUGUAGCUCAGAGGUAGAGCACUCGCCUAGCAUGUGUGAGCCACUGAGUUCGAUCCUCAGCACCACA
rnacentral:tRNA from 1 species